rnacentral:rRNA from 1 species
UAGGGAAUCUUCGGCAAUGGGGGCAACCCUGACCGAGCAACGCCGCGUGAGUGAAGAAGGUUUUCGGAUCGUAAAGCUCUGUUGUAAGAGAAGAACGAGUGUGAGAGUGGAAAGUUCACGCUGUGACGGUAUCUUACCAGAAAGGGACGGCUAACUACGUGCCAGCAGCCGCGGUAAUACGUAGGUCCCGAGCGUUAUCCGGAUUUAUUGGGCGUAAAGCGAGCGCAGGCGGUUAGAUAAGUCUGAAGUUAAAGGCUGUGGCUUAACCAUAGUACGCUUUGGAAACUGUUUAACUUGAGUGCAGAAGGGGAGAGUGGAAUUCCAUGUGUAGCGGUGAAAUGCGUAGAUAUAUGGAGGAACACCGGUGGCGAAAGCGGCUCUCUGGUCUGUAACUGACGCUGAGGCUCGAAAGCGUGGGGAGCAAACAGGAUUAGAUACCCUGGUAGUCCACGCCGUAAACGAUGAGUGCUAGGUGUUGGGUCCUUUCCGGGACUCAGUGCCGCAGCUAACGCAUUAAGCACUCCGCCUGGGGAGUACGACCGCAAGGUUGA